GCUGGCAUAGCUCAAUCUGGUAGAGCGCCCGACUUGUAAUCGGAUGGUUGUGGGUUCAAUUCCUGUUGCCAGCA
rnacentral:tRNA from 1 species